UGGGGAAUCUUGGACAAUGGGCGCAAGCCUGAUCCAGCCAUGCCGCGUGGAUGAUGAAGGCCUUAGGGUUGUAAAAUCCUUUCGUGGGGGACGAUAAUGACGGUACCCCAAGAAGAAGCUCCGGCUAACUACGUGCCAGCAGCCGCGGUAAUACGUAGGGUGCAAGCGUUAAUCGGAAUUACUGGGCGUAAAGCGUGCGCAGGCGGUCUUGCAAGACAGAUGUGAAAUCCCCGGGCUUAACCUGGGAACUGCAUUUGUGACUGCAAGGCUGGAGUACGGCAGAGGGGGAUGGAAUUCCGCGUGUAGCAGUGAAAUGCGUAGAUAUGCGGAGGAACACCGAUGGCGAAGGCAAUCCCCUGGGCCUGUACUGACGCUCAUGCACGAAAGCGUGGGGAGCAAACAGGAUUAGAUACCCCCGUAGUCCCUGAGCGGGCUGGCAAGGCGCAU
rnacentral:rRNA from 1 species